UAUUGUGAGGUUGUUUUGCAUAGGCAAUGAUGAAUGUGCCUAACCAGGGUUAAUUCCACUGAUCUGGCUGACUAGAUAGGUGUUCCCUUCCUCCCUCACCACUCCAUGUGCAUCCAUCCCCGCUGCACAUUUGGUCAAAGAGAAUGAACUACUCAGAUAGUUGAGCAACGUUUUUUUUUUUGGUCAAGGGCAUAUGAGUAGCUGUGUUACCCUGAUAAAACCUCCUAACAAGCUCUAAAAGUUACAUAAGGAAUAACUGGUGAUGGAAACAUAUCUUGAAGAACCUCAACUUCACAUUUCCAGCCCAGUCUGU
rfam:Ictidomys tridecemlineatus contig103047, whole genome shotgun sequence.